rnacentral:tRNA from 1 species
GACAUUUUAACUAUAUUAAAGUAUAUAUUUUGAAAGUAUAAAAAAGAAUUUUCUAAAUGUCU